rnacentral:lncRNA from 1 species
GUCCAGUGUGGUGACUGGGCUGAGUCAACCAGGUUCUCCCUCAGGAAUGUGAACUAAGACACACUGAAAGAAUGGAGCAGAUAACAGAAAUCUGAAGCUGAGGGAACGUUCUGGGGCAGAGGAGCAACCAUGAUGCCCCAUUCUCAGGGAAAAGUUAUGAGGCAGGAGGAAUUGGAAAAAAACAACAGAGACCCAGAAUAAAGCCCAGAGAGCAGAGAAUUGGGAAAAAAAAUGAGCUAGCUGGAAGAGAGAUACAGACACACCAAAGAGGAAUUUAUUUAGCUAUGUUUCACUCAGAAGAUCCUGUUGACAGCCCGGAUGCACACCGCUGGGAAGUUCUGGAGUCUCUAGCCAUAUGUCCACUUGCCUGCCAGGUGCACUGGCCAUAACCACAGCACAUUCCUGAAGGUCACUACAAGGCUGGAAAAUUGUGGGUCAGCUUCCCAGAGGCACAAUCUCCCAGACAAGCUGAGGCUUUAGGCCCGCCUGCAGUCUAUUCCUGGUUGACCAUAACCAGAGAAAUAUCAAAGGGAUCAAGGAUGCUGUUGUUUCAGCUCCACCAUCGGAGAGAUUGGAUGGAAGACCAGAGGCUGGGGGAGGAAGACGGGCCUGCUACUGUUCCUGUCUGCACUGCCCCGGGAAAAGCCUACAUCCUGGCACCAGCAGGUCAGUUCUGGUGACCUCAACCUCUCCCCUUCGUCUCCCAGCUCUAGAAGUCCCAGAUGCUUCCUGCAGUGACCAUCUUUAUGUGAAUCCUGUGUUACAUCAGUGUUCCCUUUUUGCUUUUCUGUGCUUCAACAGCUAUUUCAUCAAUUCCC